UGGGGAAUUUUGGACAAUGGGCGAAAGCCUGAUCCAGCAAUGCCGCGUGUGUGAAGAAGGCCUUCGGGUUGUAAAGCACUUUUGUCCGGAAAGAAAUCCUUGGCUCUAAUACAGUCGGGGGAUGACGGUACCGGAAGAAUAAGCACCGGCUAACUACGUGCCAGCAGCCGCGGUAAUACGUAGGGUGCAAGCGUUAAUCGGAAUUACUGGGCGUAAAGCGUGCGCAGGCGGUUUGCUAAGACCGAUGUGAAAUCCCCGGGCUCAACCUGGGAACUGCAUUGGUGACUGGCAGGCUAGAGUAUGGCAGAGGGGGGUAGAAUUCCACGUGUAGCAGUGAAAUGCGUAGAGAUGUGGAGGAAUACCGAUGGCGAAGGCAGCCCCCUGGGCCAAUACUGACGCUCAUGCACGAAAGCGCGGGGAGCAAACAGGAUUAGAUACCCUGGUAGUCCACGCCCUAAAACGAUGUCAACUAGUUGUUGGGGAUUCAUUUCCUUAGUAACGUAGCUAACGCGUGAAGUUGACCGCCUGGGGAGUACGGUCGCAAGAUUAAAACUCAAAGGAAUUGACGGGGUCAUAGCUG
rnacentral:rRNA from 1 species